GAUGAACGCUGGCGGCGUGCCUAAUACAUGCAAGUCGAGCGAACAGACGAGGAGCUUGCUCCUCUGACGUUAGCGGCGGACGGGUGAGUAACACGUGGAUAACCUACCUAUAAGACUGGGAUAACUUCGGGAAACCGGAGCUAAUACCGGAUAAUAUAUUGAACCGCAUGGUUCAAUAGUGAAAGACGGUUUUGCUGUCACUUAUAGAUGGAUCCGCGCCUCAUUAGCUAGUUGGUAAGGGAACGGCUUACCAAGGGGACGAUGGGUAGCCGACCUGAGAGGGUGGACGGCCACCCUGGAACUGAGACACGGUCCAGACACCUACGGUGGGCAGCAGUAGGGAAUCUUACGGAAGGGAGGAAAGGCUGACAGAGCAAAGCCGCGUGAGUGAUGAAGCUCCUCGGAUCGGAAAACUCUGUUAUUAGGGAAGAACAAAUGUGUAAGUAACUAUGCACGUCUUGACGGUACCUAAUCAGAAAGCCACGGCUAACUACGUG
rnacentral:rRNA from 1 species